CUACGGGCCGCUCCAGUGAGGAAUAUUGCACAAUGGGGGGAACCCUGAUGCAGCAACGCCGCGUGGAGGAUGACGCAUUUCGGUGUGUAAACUCCUUUUAUAUGUCAAGAAAAUGACGGUAGCAUAUGAAUAAGCACCGGCUAACUCCGUGCCAGCAGCCGCGGUGAAUACGGAGGGUGCAAGCGUUACUCGGAAUCACUGGGCGUAAAGGACGCGUAGGCGGGUUGGAAAGUCAGGUGUGAAAUCCUACAGCUUAACUGUAGAACUGCACUUGAAACUUCUAAUCUAGAGUAUGGGAGGGGGAGAUGGAGUUAGUGGUGUAGGGGUAAAAUCCGUAGAUAUCACUAGGAAUACCUAAAGCGAAGGCGAUCUCCUGGAACAUUACUGACGCUAAGGCGUGAAAGCGUGGGGAGCAAACAGGAUUAGAUACCCUAGUAGUC
rnacentral:rRNA from 1 species